GAUGAACGCUGGCGGCGUGCCUAAUACAUGCAAGUCGAGCGAACGGACGAGAAGCUUGCUUUUCUGAUGUUAGCGGCGGACGGGUGAGUAACACGUGGAUAACCUACCUAUAAGACUGGGAUAACUUCGGGAAACCGGAGCUAAUACCGGAUAAUAUUUUGAACCGCAUGGUUCAAAAGUGAAAGACGGUCUUGCUGUCACUUAUAGAUGGAUCCGCGCUGCAUUAGCUAGUUGGUAAGGUAACGGCUUACCAAGGCAACGAUGCAUAGCCGACCUGAGAGGGUGAUCGGCCACACUGGAACUGAGACACGGUCCAGACUCAUACGGGAGACAGAAGUAGGGAAGCUUCCGCAAUGGGCGAAAGCCUGACGGAGCAACGCCGCGUGAGUGAUGAAGGUCUUCGGAUCGUAAAACUCUGUUAUUAGGGAAGAACAUAUGUGUAAGUAACUGUGCACAACUUGACGGUACCUAAUCAGAAAGCCACGGCUAACUACGUG
rnacentral:rRNA from 1 species